rnacentral:rRNA from 1 species
AUGGAAGAAGAAAUUUAUGAAACUGUGAGCUCAUUGGAUGAAAAAGAUGAUGAGAAGAGCGAAGAACAAAAGGAGGAAGAACGGAUUAGCUACCCGUUCCCACCUUCUAAUGAGAGUAACUCUUCAACUCAUACAUUGUUUAAUUUCCCUUCGUGCUUACCGGAGGAUGAUUGCUAUGAUGAUUGUUAUGAUCCCGUUGAUUCUCUUGAAAUAUCUCUUUUUGAUGAUGCUUGCUAUGCUUGUGGCCAAGAUGCCAAUAUGAAUUAUGCCUAUGGAGACGAACUUGCUAUAGUUCCUUAUGUUAAACAUGAAAUUGUUGCUAUUGCACCCACACAUGAUAGUCCUAUUAUCUUUUUGAAUUCUCCCGACUACACUAUAUCGGAGAAGUUUGCACUUAUUAAGGAUUAUAUUGAUGGGUUGCCUUUUACCAUUGCACAUGAUGAUUUUGAUGAAUAUAAUAUGCAUGUGCUUGCUGCUCCUACUUGCAAUUAUUAUGAGAGAGGAACUAUAUCUCCACCUCUCUAUGUUUCCAAUAUGAUAAAGUUGCAAGAAACUGUUUAUACUAUGCAUUGGCCUUUACUAGGUGUGCAUGAAUUGUUCUUUUAUGACAUGCCGAUGCAUAGGAAGAGAGUUAGACUUCGUCAUUGCUUGAUAUAUGUUGCUUUGUUCUCACUACUAAAUUACAAAUCAUUGUUAAUUAAAAUUGACUUUGAUAUACCUUGGGAUCCGGGUGGAUUCACUACUUGA